rnacentral:rRNA from 1 species
UAUUGCACAAUGGGCGCAAGCCUGAUGCAGCAACGCCGCGUGGGGGAUGACGGCCUUCGGGUUGUAAACCUCUUUUGGCAAGGAAGAAGGGCUUCGGCUUGACGGUACUUGCAGAAAAAGGACCGGCUAACUACGUGCCAGCAGCCGCGGUAAUACGUAGGGUCCGAGCGUUGUCCGGAAUUAUUGGGCGUAAAGAGCUCGUAGGCGGUUUGUCGCGUCUGCUGUGAAAACUAGAGGCUCAACCUCUAGCCUGCAGUGGGUACGGGCAGACUGGAGUGCGGUAGGGGAGAAUGGAAUUCCUGGUGUAGCGGUGGAAUGCGCAGAUAUCAGGAGGAACACCGAUGGCGAAGGCAGUUCUCCGGGCCGUAACUGACGCUGAGGAGCGAAAGCGUGGGGAGCGAAC